rnacentral:rRNA from 1 species
GCCUAACCGUAAAACAACAAUAAAAUUACCAAUUGUUCGCCAAAUAACUACGAGUAAAAACUUAAAAUUUAAAAGACUUGACGGUACCUCACAACAACCUAGAGGAGCCUGUCUAACAACCGAUACCCCACGAUUAACCCAACCCCCUCUUGCACACAGUCUAUAUACCGCCGUCGCCAGCCUACCUUAUAAAAGAAACGAAGUGAGCUAAAUAGCCACACUAACACGACAGGUCGAGGUGUAACUCAUGGGGGGGCUAAGAUGGGCUACAUUUUCUAACACAGAAAACACGAAUCAAACUAUGAAACAAGAAACUGAAGGCGGAUUUAGCAGUAUAUAAAGAACAAAAUACUUAAUAGAAACUAACGCAAUGAGGUGCGUACACACCGCCCGUCAUCCCUGUUACCAACUAAAAACAUUCAUAAUACAACAAAUCUUUUAAAGCAGGGCAAGUCGUAACACGGUAAGCAUACUGGAAAGUGUGCUUAGAAA